AGAGUUUGAUCCUGGCUCAGGACGAACGCUGACGGUGUGCUUUAGGCAUGCAAGUCGAACGAGAAAGCCCUUCGGGGUGAGUAGAGUGGCGAACGGGUGAGUAACACGUGGGCAAUCUGCCCCUCGCAGGGGGACAACCGGGGGAAACCCCGGCUAAUACCCCGUACGCUUACGGAGCCGCAUGGCUCCAUAAGGAGAGGUAGCUUCGGCCAUCCGGCGAGGGAUGAGCCCGCGGUACAUUAGCUAGUUGGUGAGGUAACGGCUCACCAAGGCGACGAUGUAUAGCUGGUCUGAGAGGAUGAUCAGCCACACUGGGACUGAGACACGGCCCAGACUCCUACGGGAGGCAGCAGUCGGGAAUCUUGCGCAAUGGGCGAAAGCCUGACGCAGCAACACCGUGUGAGCGACGAAGGCCUUCGGGUCGUAAAGCUCUGUUGUUGGGGACGAAGGGUUAGGGGUUAAUAGCCCCGAGCCUGACGGUACCCUUCGAGGAAGCCCCGGCUAACUACGUGCCAGCAGCCGCGGUAAUACGUAGGGGGCGAGCGUUGUCCGGAAUUAUUGGGCGUAAAGAGCGUGUAGGCGGUUCGGUAAGUCUGCCGUGAAAACCCAGGGCUCAACCCUGGGCGUGCGGUGGAUACUGCCGGGCUAGAGGGUGGUAGAGGCGAGUGGAAUUCCCGGUGUAGCGGUGAAAUGCGCAGAUAUCGGGAGGAACACCAGUAGCGAAGGCGGCUCGCUGGGCCACACCUGACGCUGAGACGCGAAAGCGUGGGGAGCAAACAGGAUUAGAUACCCCAGUAGUCC
rnacentral:rRNA from 1 species